rnacentral:misc_RNA from 1 species
UUUCCGUAGGUGAACCUGCGGAAGGAUCAUUAUCGUAGGGCUUCGGUCCUGUCGAGAUAGCGUCCUUGCCUAUUUUUUGGAGUACCUUUUCGUUUCCUCGGCAGGCUUGCCUGCCAACGGGGACCCACCACAAACCCAUUGCAGUACAAGAAGUACACGUCUGAACAAAACAAAACAAACUAUUUACAACUUUCAACAACGGAUCUCUUGGUUCUGGCAUCGAUGAAGAACGCAGC